UAAUGUCAACAAGGGGGAAAAGACUCUUUCUGGUAAAGAUCUUGUGAAGCUGGUGGAAUCGACUCUUUCUAAAGAUGUCCCGCCAUUCCAUACUAAAGGUGGAGAUCUUAAAAGAAAGUACAAGACAUUUCUGUCAAAGAUGUAUCCAGGGCUGCCUGAGGAAUUUACAUUCUGAUGAAGAUGGUCAUAUCUUUAGAUUUAGGUUGUCCUUGUAUCAUCAAAUCAUCAUGUGUCAGAGCUAGUUA